AUUUUUUUAUUAAUGAAACCAACAAGAAAGCAAUAUAGACAGCACUAGCUUCUCCACUAUUAAGCCGUAAGAUUUAAUUAUAAAUCUACAUCAACAUUCGUAUAUAACAUGGUAAAAAUUAAAGUUAUGUAUAACCUGAACUACAGUAUAAUUUACUGAUGCAUUAGGACUGGUAGAUAUAUACACAGAUUUAGAUGCAUUGUACUGUGGACAAACAUGACCAGGCAAAGACAAAAAAAUACUUUAUCCCUUGUCCGAGAAAAAUUAGUGAAUGUCCGACCAAUUAUUGGCUUGGCC